rnacentral:rRNA from 1 species
GACGAACGCUGGCGGCGUGCCUAAUACAUGCAAGUCGAACGAGAGCGCCCGGUGCUUGCACUGGUCAAUCUAGUGGCGAACGGGUGAGUAACACGUGGGUAACCUGCCCAUCAGAGGGGGAUAACAUUCGGAAACGGAUGCUAAAACCGCAUAGGUCUUCGAACCGCAUGGUUUGAAGAGGAAAAGAGGCGCAAGCUUCUGCUGAUGGAUGGACCCGCGGUGCAUUAGCUAGUUGGUGAGGUAACGGCUCACCAAGGCCGUGAUGCAUAGCCGACCUGAGAGGGUGAUCGGCCACAUUGGGACUGAGACACGGCCCAAACUCCUACGGGAGGCAGCAGUAGGGAAUCUUCCGCAAUGGACGCAAGUCUGACGGAGCAACGCCGCGUGAGUGAAGAAGGUUUUCGGAUCGUAAAACUCUGUUGUUAGAGAAGAAUAAGUGCUAGAGUAACUGUUAGCGCCUUGACGGUAUCUAACCAGAAAGCCACGGCUAACUACAUG